GGAGUUGUGGCUCAGCGGUAGAGCGUUUGCCUUGCAUGCAUGAGGCACUGGGUUCAAUCCUUGCACCA
rfam:Ictidomys tridecemlineatus contig021699, whole genome shotgun sequence.